GUGUGUUUGGUGUUCGGGGUAAGGUGUGUCUGGUGUUCGGGGUAAGUCUUGUCUGGUGUUCGGGGUAAGGUGUGUCUGGUGUUCGGGGUAAGUUGUGUCUGGUGUUCGGGGUAAGGUGUGUCUGGUGUUCGGGGUAAGUCUUGUCUGGUGUUCGGGGUAAGGUGUGUCUGGUGUUCGGGGUAAGGUGUGUCUGGUGUUCGGGGUAAGGUGUGUUUGGUGUUCGGGGUAAGGUGUGUUUGGUGUUCGGGGUAAGGUGUGUUUGGUGUUCGGGGUAAGGUGUGUCUGGUGUUCGGGGUAAGGUGUGUUUGGUGUCCGGGCUAAGGGGUGUUUGGUGUUUCUGGGUAAAGUGUGUUUGGUGUCCGGGGUAAGGGGUGUUUGGUGUUUCUGGAUAAAGUGUGUCUGGUGUUCGGGGUAAGUUGUGUCUGGUGUUCGGGGUAAAGUGUGUCUGGUGUUCGGGGUAAGGUGUGCCUGGUGUUCGGGGUAAGGUGUGUCUGGUGUUCGGGGUAAGUUGUGUCUGGUGUUCGGGGUAAGGUGUGUCUGGUGUUCUGGGUAAGGUUAGGGGGGCUUUUUUGUCCGUGUUUGGUGUUAGAGGUGGUGUGUGUGAUGGUGUUGGGGUGGUAUUUGUGUUCGGGGUGGUGUGUCUGUGUGUUUGCUGUUAGUGGUGGUACAUGUGUGUGUUUCUGUUAGGGGUGGUACGUGUGUGUGUUUCUGUUAGGGGUGGUACGUGUGUGUGUUUCUGUUAGGGGUGGUACGUGUGUGUGUUUGCUGUUAGUGGUGGUAGGUGUGUGUGUUUCUGUUAGGGGUGGUACGUGUGCUACAGAAUAUGUGGGAAUGCCCUGAGCCCUCCGAAUAGAAUGUUUUGUGUAUAGCUGUGUUCAACAAUCAAUAGCAUCACUACUGUAAGCGAUAAAAGAGCAAUGGUUUGAAGUGUGUGUGCUGCCUGUGUAUGUGUGAAUGUGUGUGUGGGCUGCAAGGCCACCCUCUGAUCAUCUCCUUGGCAGCCACUAUGCUGAAGUGCACUCUGGGUGUUCAAGAGGCCUCCCAUAACAAGAGAAAAAAGACACACACACACACACACAUACACAUUCUAAAUGCUUCAUCAGGGUUGACAAGCUCUUUUGGUUUGCAGUCUUGGCAGGACCUAGAAUCAUCUCUGCAAGGUUAUGUGUAGAGUUAUGAUGCCCCCCCCCACA
ensembl:lncRNA